GGGCACUUCCUACGGGUGAGGGGAGCAGCCACGCUUGAGGACUCACGUUUUAAUAAGAAGCCCAUUACGUUCAUCUCCUUACAGCCGCCAUUAAAGACCGAUAGAGAGAAACCAGUGGAUUGUGGACUUGACAGCAUGUUCAGCUUUCUGGCAGUUACAACCCUCUCACCCAAGAGAAGUGUUCGGAGGUUGACUUUGGACAACUAAGUAAAAGAGUGCACUGAAAGACUUAGAAAUCUUCAGAAGAAAAUCUUGAGGCUUCCCGGAGCAGAGCUGCAGGCCCUGGUAUGCUGAGGACUGGCUGCUACAAUCGACAUGGUCACCUCUUCUACAGUAGGAACUCAAAAGAGAAUUCCCAGUCCUGUGCUUAGGCCCAGGUUGGUACAAAUGCAUCUCUGAACCACAUGCCUUGCUUGAGCUCAGAGGAGAAUGAGGAAGUAAGAAUCUGUCUUUUUUUUUUCUUAAUCCCACUAUUCUAAAUAGAGGUGGCCACUCCCUCCUCCCCUCUAAUCAAGCCUCAAAAGUAGGGAAUUCCUUGAAUAUUGAAAGGUGUUGAGGCAACCAUACUUACCAACAGAUAUCCAGUUCAUCUAAUACUACCCACAACAAAGACACCGUUCACACAGAGCAUUGUGAAACUGAAGGCAAUACACUACAUCUCAUCAUUUUACACACUGAAAUAAAAAUUCAGAUACCAAGAGGUCCUUUCCCAGGGUUCUGGUUGCCUAUGCAGCGUUCUUCCCCUCUCUCUCUCAGUGUGUUUGAACUCCCUUACUAUGAGAAGUAGCUGGUGCCCAGGCUGCAUUAUGUAGAGCUGGGAUUUAUAAAAUGCUAAAGGAAGCCACUGGACUGGGCUUCCGGAAAGCUCCUUAAUGGUGCUCUUUUUAACCCACUCCUGUCCCAUUCCCCCUUUUCUCUGGCUUAGAACACAAUGGUGGUGGCUUUGAAUCAUGUGAUUCAUGUGACCCGAUAUUCAAAGCUAUUAUAGUUUGGAUCUGAAGUGUUUUCUGACGGUUCUGUGUUCCGCUGACAGGGCUUUUAGUACAUGAUUGGAUCACGAGGGCCCAGGCUUCAUCAGUGAUUUAGUCCACUCAGAUUCAUAAUUGUGUGGCGUGGAAAGGUGAUGCUGACUAAAAGGUGGGCCCUGCUUGGAGGGUGUCAGUCACUUGGGGCAUUACUCUGAAGGUAAAUCUUAUUCCCAGCCCAGGCUUCUAUUUCUGCUUCCUGGUAGGAAUAAUGUAAGCAGAUUUCCUGUGCUACUCCUCCCACCAAAAUGACUCAGCUUUGGCUAAAGACCACAGUCAUGGGCAGAAAUCCCUGAAAUGGUGAGCCCAAGUAGGUAUCUUUCCAUUACUUUUCUUGGAUAUUUUGUCACAACAACAAACCAAACACAGCAGUCAUUUCUCAAGAAGGGCAAAUCAACACUACAGACACCUGGCUACUCAGUGACCUAUCCUGCCAUUCUGAGCCCUGCACUGAUUUUUUAUGUGAUGGAAAUGACCUUCCUCUUCUUUGAGUCAUCAAACUCAUUGUGUCCUGGCAGCAGAAGGUAGUCCCGGCAUUUGCCCGAUGGUCUUGGUGACUUCAUAAGUGCUUAUCUCUUACGAAUCCAAGAUGUCAUCCUCAUCCUGUGCAUAGGAAAAUCCGAGGAAUGCACUUGAGGUCCCAGAACUGCUGGCCAUGGUGUCAGGGGUGCAGCCAAUGGACUUGGAUACCGCUUCCUGGGUGAACUCUGGGUCAAAGUGUUUCAAGUCAGCGGGUCCUUCCUGUUAGUAGAAGCCAAGGGAUGAGAAGGGGGUAUUGAAUAUGAGUCAACUAAGGAUCCCAGAGCUUGGGAGAGGGAUGUCAGACCUUCCUUUCUGAGUGCCUCCUGGUCCUUCAUAUUUAAAGUGACUGUCUCAUGUUCCACACCAAUCCUCAGACAAGCCACUAGUCAACGUAUACUUCCUAAGUGCUUACCACAUUCCAGUUAUUGCACCGGAAAUAUGGGAGGACAAAGCAGGGCAAGUCUCUACUUUCAAGGACCUAAUAUGAUGGAGGAGGAGGCAGGAGGAUCAUUUAGGAGUCUGAUAGGUCCUAGGUAAUAGAGACAAAAUAGGGGCUGCUCAGCUAUAUUGGAGAAAGAUAUGUUUG